rnacentral:rRNA from 1 species
GACGAACGCUGGCGGCGUGCUUAACACAUGCAAGUCGAACGGAAAGGCCCUGCUUUUGUGGGGUGCUCGAGUGGCGAACGGGUGAGUAACACGUGAGUAACCUGCCCUUGACUUUGGGAUAACUUCAGGAAACUGGGGCUAAUACCGGAUAGGAGCUCCUGCUGCAUGGUGGGGGUUGGAAAGCUUCGGCGGUUGGGGAUGGACUCGCGGCUUAUCAGCUUGUUGGUGGGGUAGUGGCUUACCAAGGCUUUGACGGGUAGCCGGCCUGAGAGGGUGACCGGCCACAUUGGGACUGAGAUACGGCCCAGACUCCUACGGGAGGCAGCAGAGGGGAAUAUUGCACAAUGGGCGGAAGCCUGAUGCAGCAACGCCGCGUGCGGGAUGACGGCCUUCGGGUUGUAAACCGCUUUCGCCUGUGACGAAGCGUGAGUGACGGUAAUGGGUAAAGAAGCACCGGCUAACUACGUG